rnacentral:rRNA from 1 species
UACAGAGGGUGCAAGCGUUAAUCGGAAUUACUGGGCGUAAAGCGUGCGCAGGCGGUUGUGCAAGACAGAGGUGAAAUCCCCGGGCUUAACCUGGGAAUGGCCUUUGUGACUGCACGGCUAGAGUGUGUCAGAGGGGGGUAGAAUUCCACGUGUAGCAGUGAAAUGCGUAGAGAUGUGGAGGAAUACCGAUGGCGAAGGCAGCCCCCUGGGAUAACACUGACGCUCAGGCACGAAAGCGUGGGGAGCAAACAGG